UGACCCUGCAGCUCUGGGAGAGGAGCCCAGCGCCAGAAUUCCCAGGUGUUUCUGUUCGGCCAUCAGCAGUAAACACACAGAACACACCAUGGAGUUUGUGCUGAGCUGGGUUUUCCUUGUUGCUCUUUUGAAAGGUGUCCAGUGUGAGGUGCAGCUGGUGGAGUCUGGGGGCGGUUUGGUAAAGCCUGGGGGGUCCCUGAGACUCUCCUGUGCAGCCUCCGGAUUCACCUUCAGUAGCUACUACAUGAGCUGGGUCCGCCAGGCUCCAGGGAAGGGGCUGGAGUGGGUCUCAGCUAUUAAUAGUGGUGGGGGUAGCACAUGGUACGCAGACUCCGUGAAGGGCAGAUUCACCAUCUCCAGAGAGAACUCCAAGAACACGCUGUAUCUGCAAAUGGACAGCCUGAAAGCCGAGGACACGGCUGUGUAUUACUGUGCGAGAGACACAGUGAGGGGAAGUCGGUGGACCCACAAAUUGCAAUACAGUGAGUUCCUCAUUCUCACCUACACAGGGAGCUCUUCGUUCUCGUCCACAGAAGGAGCUCCUCAUUCUCAUCCACACAGGGAGCUCCUCAUUCUCAUCCACACAGGGAGUUCUUCAUUUUCUUCAAAAGGUGCUUAUUUGUGA